GAUGAAGAACGCAGCGAAAUGCGAUAAGUAAUGUGAAUUGCAGAGUUCAGUGAAUCAUCGAAUCUUUGAACGCAUCUUGCGCUCCUUGGUAUUCUGAGGAGCAUGCCUGUUUGAGUGUCAUUAAAUUCUCAACUACACUGACUUUGAAUUGGUGUGGCUUGGAUUUGGGGGGAAAAUUGUUGUGGGCUUUUUGUAUAGUCUGCUCCCCUGAAAUUGAUUAGCGGUACCUUUGUGGAACUGUCUACAGGUGUGAUAAUUAUCUACAUCUUAGACAUCUGCUGGAAUGCUGCUUUCUAAACCUUACUUGUAUUGACAAUCUUGACCUCGAAUCAGGUAGGACUACCCGCUGAACUUAAGCAUAUCAAUAAGCGGAGGA
rnacentral:misc_RNA from 1 species